rnacentral:rRNA from 1 species
UACGUAGGGUGCAAGCGUUGUCCGGAAUUAUUGGGCGUAAAGGGCCCGUAGGCGGUCCAUCGCGUCGGGAGUGAAAAGCUGGGGCUUAACCCCAGUCCUGCUUCCGAUACGGGUGGACUAGAGGUAGGUAGGGGAGAUCGGAAUUCCUGGUGUAGCGGUGAAAUGCGCAGAUAUCAGGAGGAACACCGGUGGCGAAGGCGGAUCUCUGGGCCUUACCUGACGCUGAGGAGCGAAAGCAUGGGGAGCAAACAGG